ensembl:lncRNA
AGAAGAUGAAGGAAAAAGUGCAAAAAUUGAAACUUGAUUUGAGCAUCCUCUCCAAAUAAUCACCCAACAAGAUUUAUCUGCUUUUUGUGUAUAAAACUUUCUAUGAAGUACUUAAAACCACUGAUGCCUCACUAUUAAUAAUCUGUGUCAUGUACAAUAAUAUAUCCAAACCAGUACUUCUACUUUAACUACAUUUUGCUGCUAAUAUUUGUGUAUUUUUACUCAAGUAGAAUUUUCAUGUACAACUUUUACUUGUAAAGGAGUAUCUUUUUACAUCGCUGUAUUAGUAUUUUUACUCAAAUAAAACACCUGAAUCCUUCUCCAACCACUGAUUUCAUAGUGUACAACACUGUACAACAGCGACAACAUUUAUAAAACUUAAUAUAUGAAAACAUCAGGUAAUUAUCAAAAUAUAUAAAGAAGUCACAGAUAUAGCCCUUUAUUUUCAGUUGCAAGUACAUCAAACACAGCAGCUUGUAGCCAUAGAGUUAAAAAAACAUCCUGAGUAAUCAUCGGAAAAUCUGUUAGUGACACUCUAGUGUAUUUGUUUGUUUGCUUCAUGAAGGUUGUUUAAAGCAGGAAAAACAGUAGUUUGCAGAAUCAUGAGAAGUCUAUUCGUACCAAGAAAUAUCCCACUUUUAUAAAACUGAUGAGCAAAUGAUUGUGUGAUCAGUGGGGUGAAAGCAGUUACUGAGUCUGAGAUGGUUGCAUAUUAAAGCUGGUCCUCUGUCGCUGCUGUGCAGUGAGGUCAACAUUCAUCAGGGUUCUGGUUCUCCCAGACCGGGCUUUACACCAGAACUCUUCACUGACUGUCCACACCUCCAGCAGCACAGAGAAACCUCUAGUCCUGCAGCACUUCCCUCCGACAGCUCACCUUACUGUCCAUCAACCUUAUCUGUAGAGACAGAGAUUAAAUAGAGAAUAUUUACAGUCUGCAGCUGAGUUAGAAGACGGUAUCUGCUCCUAGAUUCCAAUGUUAACUGUCUGUGAUGAUAUAAAAGUGGAAUAUCC